rnacentral:rRNA from 1 species
GAGGGGUAUAUGUCUUCGGACCUAGAGACCGGCGCACGGGUGCGUAACGCGUAUGCAAUCUACCUUUUACAGAGGGAUAGCCCAGAGAAAUUUGGAUUAAUACCUCAUAGCAUAACAGCUUCGCAUGAAGUCACUAUUAAAGUCACAACGGUAAAAGAUGAGCAUGCGUCCCAUUAGCUAGUUGGUAAGGUAACGGCUUACCAAGGCUACGAUGGGUAGGGGUCCUGAGAGGGAGAUCCCCCACACUGGUACUGAGACACGGACCAGACUCCUACGGGAGGCAGCAGUGAGGAAUAUUGGACAAUGGGCGCAAGCCUGAUCCAGCCAUGCCGCGUGCAGGAUGACGGUCCUAUGGAUUGUAAACUGCUUUUAUACGAGAAGAAACAUUGCUACGUGUAGCAACUUGACGGUAUCGUAAGAAUAAGGAUCGGCUAACUCCGUGCCAGCAGCCGCGGUAAUACGGAGGAUCCAAGCGUUAUCCGGAAUCAUUGGGUUUAAAGGGUCCGUAGGCGGUUUAAUAAGUCAGUGGUGAAAGCCCAUCGCUCAACGGUGGAACGGCCAUUGAUACUGUUAAACUUGAAUUAUUGCGAAGUAACUAGAAUAUGUAGUGUAGCGGUGAAAUGCUUAGAGAUUACAUGGAAUACCAAUUGCGAAGGCAGGUUACUACUAAUGGAUUGACGCUGAUGGACCAAAGCGUGGGUAGCGAACAGGAUU